GACCUUCUGGGUGUUUCUGCCUCCGAACCUCCGUCUGGUCCGAGCGGAUCCGGGAGGAGGAGCGACCAGGAGGCGGACAUGGCGGUGCCCAGCCCGGGAUAACCACCGCUCCGCUCCACCGGGGACCAACUUUCUCCGAUUAUGCGACGAAGUGAAUAAAAUCACCAUGUUUGGAGAAAACCGAUGCUGCAGCGUUGCAACUCUCCAAACUUUUGCCGGCAGAUUUCCAAAUGCAGGAACGGCUUUUCCAGGGAAAUGAAGCGGCUGUGUUCAGGUUAAAACCCCGCGGAUCCUUCACCUCUGCUGGGAACACCGUGUUCACCGUCACUGCAAGUUUCUCCAACUUCUCCACCAAGAAAAAACACAUGAAAGGGUUAAUUCAUCAGCUACGGGAAGUAUGGGGGAUUUUUUCCAGGAAGUGAUGAAAAAUCUUCUGUUGACAACAGACGCGGUGACGAGGGUGCGAACAGCAAUCGGUGGCUCCUCCUCUCUGACUCGCUCACACUUUUACCUGCCAGAUGUUUGGAGGUGAAACAAACACCACCACACUGAAAAACCGAACUGCAUCUGAUUCUAAUCAAGUUAAAGCUUGAGGGGAAAAAAGAGAAAACAGCCUUUUGUUUAGUGGACGCAUUUAAUCUCUUUGCUUUGUCUUUAGGU